ACCUCUGCAAUAGGCGAAAGCCUGACAGGGUUAUUCUGAGUGAAUCUCGUUAGGAGAUUCUUUUGGCACCUGUAAAAAGGGUGCAGAAUAAGGGGUGGGCAAGUCUGGUGUCAGCCGCCGCGGUAAUACCAGCACCCCGAGUGGUCGGGACGAUUAUUGGGCCUAAAGCAUCCGUAGCCGGUUCUGCAAGUCCCCCGUUAAAUCCAACUGCUCAACAGAUGGGCCGCGGAGGAUACUACAGAGCUAGGAGGCAGGAGAGGCAAGCGGUACUCAGUGGGUAGGGGUAAAAUCCGUUGAUCCAUUGAAGACCACCAGUGGCGAAGGCGGCUUGCCAGAAUGCGCUCGACGGUGAGGGAUGAAAGCUGGGGGAGCAAACCGGAUUAGAUACCCGGGUAGUCCCAGCCGUAAACGAUGCAGACUCGGUGAUGGGUUGGCUUCGCGCUAACCCAGUGCCGCAGGGAAGCCGUUAAGUCUGCCGCCUGGGAAGUACGGUCGCAAGACUGAAACUUAA
rnacentral:rRNA from 1 species